UACGUAGGGUGCGAGCGUUGUCCGGAAUUACUGGGCGUAAAGCGCGUGUAGGCGGCAGCGCAAGUCGGAUGUGAAAUCCCAUGGCUCAACCAUGGAAGUGCACCCGAAACUGCGUCGCUAGAGUCCUGGAGAGGAAGGUGGAAUGCUUGGUGUAGAGGUGAAAUUCGUAGAUAUCAAGCGGAACACCGGUGGCGAAGGCGGCCUUCUGGACAGUGACUGACGCUGAGACGCGAAAGCGUGGGGAGCAAACAGG
rnacentral:rRNA from 1 species